AACUCUGCCUGGCAGGAGGUCACCAUGAUCACUAGGUGGUUCUCCCAGGGCGAGGCUCAUCCAUUGCCUCGGGUGUGGCCAGUGACCUGCGAUUUCCCCAAAUGCGGGAAACUCGACUGCAUAAUUUGUGGUAGUGGGGGACUGCGUUUGCACUCUCCCCUG